rnacentral:rRNA from 1 species
GAUGAACGCUGGCGGCGUGCCUAAUACAUGCAAGUCGAGCGAACAGACGAGGAGCUUGCUCCUCUGACGUUAGCGGCGGACGGGUGAGUAACACGUGGAUAACCUACCUAUAAGACUGGGAUAACUUCGGGAAACCGGAGCUAAUACCGGAUAAUAUAUUGAACCGCAUGGUUCAAUAGUGAAAGACGGUUUUGCUGUCACUUAUAGAUGGAUCCGCGCCGCAUUAGCUAGUUGGUAAGGUAACGGCUUACCAAGGCAACGAUGCGUAGCCGACCUGAGAGGGUGAUCGGCCCAACUGGAACUGAGACACGGUCCCAACUCCUAAGGGAGGCAGCAGUAGGGAAUCUUCCGCAAUGGGCGAAAGCUUGACGGAGCAAAGCCGCGUGAGUGAUGAAGGGCUUCGGAUCGUAAAACUCUGUUAAUAGGGAAGAACAAAUGUGUAAGUAACUAUGCACGUCUUGACGGUACCUAAUCAGAAAGCCACGGCUAACUACGUG